rnacentral:rRNA from 1 species
GAUGAACGCUGGCGGCGUGCCUAGUACAUGCAAGUCGAGCGAACAGACGAGGAGCUUGCUCCUCUGACGUUAGCGGCGGACGGGUGAGUAACACGUGGAUAACCUACCUAUAAGACUGGGAUAACUUCGGGAAACCGGAGCUAAUACCGGAUAAUAUAUUGAACCGCAUGGUUCAAUAGUGAAAGACGGUUUUGCUGUCACUUAUAGAUGGAUCCGCGCCGCAUUAGCUAGUUGGUAAGGUAACGGCUUACCAAGGCAACGAUGCGUAGCCGACCUGAGAGGGUGAUCGGCCCCACUGGAACUGAGACACGGUCCAGACUCCUACGGGAGGCAGCAGUAGGGAAUCUUCCGAAAUGGGCGAAAGCCUGACGGAGCAACGCCGCGUGAGUGAUGAAGGUCUUCGGAUCGUAAAACUCUGUUAUUAGGGAAGACCAAAUGUGUAAGUAACUAUGCACGUCUUGACGGUACCUAAUCAGAAAGCCACGGCUAACUACGUG